CCUACGGGGGGCAGCAGUGAGGAAUAUUGGUCAAUGGACGCGAGCCUGAACCAGCCAAGUCGCGUGAAGGAUGACUGCCCUAUGGGUUGUAAACUUCUUUUGUAAGGGAGUAAAGUGAGGCACGUGUACCUUUUUGAAUGUACUUUAUGAAUAAGGAUCGGCUAACUCCGUGCCAGCAGCCGCGGUAAUACGGAGGAUCCGAGCGUUAUCCGGAUUUAUUGGGUUUAAAGGGUGCGUAGAUGGGUUGUUAAGUCAGUGGUGAAAGUUUGCGGCUCAACCGUAAAAUUGCAAUUGAUACUGGCAGUCUUGAGUACAGUUGAGGUAGGCGGAAUGCGUGGUGUAGCGGUGAAAUGCUUAGAUAUCACGAAGAACUCCGAUUGCGAAGGCAGCUUACUAAACUGCCACUGACAUUGAGGCUCGAAAGUGUGGGUAUCAAACAGGAUUAGAUACCCCAGUAGUC
rnacentral:rRNA from 1 species